rnacentral:lncRNA from 1 species
GAUAAUCAAAACUACUAAUUCCUAUUUUAUGUUUAUCAAAAUCAAACUAGAUAUUAUUAGAUUUAAAACAAAAUUUAGAUUCUUCAUUUUCUUCAUGCUGGUCGCAUUGUUUUUCACCUUAAUCGAAUCCUCUAAUGUUUUGGAUGACUUGUUCUUUAUUCUUUCUAACUUCUCAGUAACCUCAACCAACUCAUUUCUAACCUUAGGCGACUUCUCAACAAUAUUAGCCGACCUCUUAGCAAGAUUAGCCGACUUCUUGUUUGAAAUUUUACUCAUAAGAUUUUUGUUAUCUCAAUAUUUGAGCUUUUCAUAUCCUGGUCCUUCUUAACAUCUUCUUCCUCUUUCUCGUUUUCAUAUGGUUUAAGAACAUUAGAUGUUUUCCUCCUCUUUGUCGACACUCGCCUUCUUGAGAUCUUCAAACUCAAUCCUCUGUUUAUUCAUAAUCUCAUUAGCUUCAUCCAAAAGCCUCCUUAUCCGCUGGGUCUAUUCAUUUUUUGUUUGAGUUUCUUCUCCAGGUUUUUCUUCUUCACGUUUGUUGCACCAUUUACCAAGAUCACUUCAUCCAUUCUUGGGACCAAGAUAACCAUGUUCGCACUCAAGUUCUUUGCCAUCAACAAGAUUCCACACUCUUCCUCCGCAUCUUUAGUAAGGAGAUUUGUCUUCCCCUUUGUCUCAAAGUGACAAUACUUUGCAAUGUGGCCAACCUUACCACAAUUCUAGCACUUCCUGGAUCUGCACCCGAUUACAUAGUAGUCGUGCUUACUACACUUAAAACAAUUCACUCCUGAUCGAUAUCCUUAGCCUUUCUCUUGUUCUCAGUCACGCCAAUUCUACUGACUGAUUUGCUCUUCAAUAUCAUCUUUAAAAUUACCUCGGUCACGUCCACCACGUCCUCGGCCUUUACCUCUAAGACAUCGACUCUAAGUAUUCUAAGUUUCAUUUGAGUCAAACUAUACUUGUAGUGCUUGAUCUUCGAGUUCACUCCUUUUCUUUUUCUUCCUUAAUUCGUGGGCCUUUAAUGACCUUUUAACUCCUCCACAGUG